AGUGAACGCUGGCGGCAGGCCUAACACAUGCAAGUCGAGCGGCAGCGCGUCCGACCACCCUCGGGUGGUCGGAUGGCGGCGAGCGGCGGACGGGUGAGGAAUGCAUCGGAAUCUGCCUCGUUGUGGGGGGAUAACGUAGGGAAACUUACGCUAAUACCGCAUACGACCUACGGGUGAAAGGUGGGGGACCUUCGGGCCUCACGCGAUGAGAUGAGCCGAUGCCGGAUUAGCUAGUUGGCGGGGUAAAGGCCCACCAAGGCGACGAUCCGUAGCUGGUCUGAGAGGAUGAUCAGCCACACUGGAACUGAGACACGGUCCAGACUCCUACGGGAGGCAGCAGUGGGGAAUAUUGGACAAUGGGGGCAACCCUGAUCCAGCCAUGCCGCGUGUGUGAAGAAGGCCUU
rnacentral:rRNA from 1 species